rnacentral:lncRNA from 1 species
UUGGCUAGGAAGCAAACAACGGUGAAACCACAAAUAAAAUGCCAAGAGUUCGGCACAACUAAACUCAAGGAUAUGUCAAAAAAAUAGAAAAGUUGAACAAAGAAUGGAUGGAGAGGGAGUCUCAAAUCGGCUCGAAAGCAUUCUUCAUAAAGGCCAAGCCAGUCUGUUGGAGGGUCACAGAUCUGAUUAUUUGAACUUGGGACUUCCAACCUAUGCUCAUGAGGGACCUAAAAUUGAGAUAUGAUCAUAUUAAGGUCUCACUCCUCUAGUAUAGAUCAGAAGCACCAAGGGACAAAAGGCUCCUUUGGCUCCUACUCGCUACCCC